AUUUUCGACAUCCCCAGAGUGAACCUAAAUGCACAAAGUAGUAUUAAUACUAAAUGAUAGUGAGCCUGACUGGAUGUAGAAGGCAGAAUUUAAAAUACUACUCUUAAAGAAUGCUAGUUACUAGUGUAUGGCUUCUAAUGUGCUUUCUGUUGUGGCUCACAUUAUUCCAUAUAAUGUUCUAGAUCUUCAUUCAGAUUUUGAACAAAUUUAUCAGAUUUUUCAGUUUAUUUCCCUAAAAUAUGUGAAAAGCAUAACUGCCUCAGUAGCAUUUUAAGAGAACUAGUGUGUUAACCAGUAUUCAGAGAAACCUGACUUUGCAGAGAAAUCAAUCCUUUCGUCAUGCUUGGACUCAUGAGCGACAUCUCUCUUUGGCUCCCUCCACCUUGAAAACUUUGUUAAAACUUGUUCUUAGAAGUUGUUCGUGUGCAACAGAUUAGUCUCAGUCCUUAUCAGAAAAAGCCCUCAGUAAUACAUAUUCAGAAGUACUGGGCCUCAUAAAAAAAAAAAAAAAAAAAAAAAAAAAAAAAAAAAAAAAAAAGCAGCUGAAUGGUACAAUGACUUCUAAUGUUAGAAAGCUACAUGUGGGAACACAUGUAAUGAGUUAGUAUUUGAGGUGAAGACUGGUUUAGGUCUCCUUGUUUGAAGACAAUCAUUAAUCUUCUCUUAUCACAUAAAUCUACCUUUCAUAGCAGGAAGGAAGUCUGUGCCUAUUCAUGCUUGUGCACCGUCCUUAUUUCACACAAGUACUUUGAAAAGACAUACAGGAGAGUAUCUGUGGAGCUGCUAUCAUUCAGUUUAAGCAAAAGGUAAAAAAAAGUAGACCCACUAUGACUUAAAAAUAUGGUUUGACACUAAUGAAUGAGCCAGUCUUAUCUCUUUCUGUAAAUAAUGUGAAUGAGAAGGUGGUGACAGGGCAACUGGAGCAGUACCUGACUUCUUACUCUUAUCAUGGACCCUCAGCUGUGCCCUUUUUACACAUAGAUAGAGAUGUAUUUGAUUACACUGAUAAAUGUAGUUGUAGCUUGGAUGGUAUAAGGUUUCAGAAGAGACAGCUAACUGAAAGACAGACCAUGAGUGAUCUAGUGGGAAGUGGUGGAUACAGUGAUGGUGGCACUCUUCGCGCUGUUCAGCUGCUCAGAACAGUGAAGUCAGAACCACUUGUCAAGAUCUAACUCACUGAAAGAAUGAUAAAUUCACUGACUAACAGAGGCCCCUUUAAAAAUAAACAAGCGAGAGCUGAUUUUAUUCAGGAAAGCUUUCAAUCAAUUAGUGGUAACAAGAGCUAUUCAAGUACAGGUUUUGUGAGACAGCAGUCUUAUUGUCUAAACUCACAAGUAUAGGGGGAACCAAGUCAGACACAGAAUCCAGAGGAAUCAGUAUAGUGUGAAAAGAGAAAUUAAAGAUGUCAGGGUUAUUUUGUAUGCCACAUCUUUUCAAUAGCCCAGACUCCCAGAGCCAUUUUAAACACAGUAUCUGUUUCCAAAACCUCUGCAUAAUACCUGUUUGUAUACAGAUGCAUAUAAAUAUGCUGAAACUUAUACAUGUAUAAAUACGUGCAUAAGGAAAAAAAUGGAGAUGCAUCCUUAAACAAUCAGGAUUACAAAUUAAAAAUACUCAAAGAUAGAAUGACCAUAAUCAGUCCUGAUGAUUGCACCUUCCCCUGAAGCAUAACUGGGAGUGUGAUGGGUUAUUCUGUGACAAUCAUAUCACAUUGUCUCUUUAGAAAUUACAAGAUAGCAGAAGAAAAGAAAUCUGAAAGAAGAAAGCUGAAAAGUUCUCAGACUCAACUACUUUCUCUCCCUUGUUAAUCUUCACAUCUACUGUUUCCUUUCAUUCCAGGUAGGGAGAGCCUAUCAAUGUACAUGUCUUCCUUAAAGCAAUUGUCUAGAAGGGUGCUAAGGACCCACUUACCCGCCCAACUAUUUUCUCCAUUCCUUCUAGAAGUCGCUUGUUUUGUUCUUCAAUCUCCACAGCCUUCCAGAGAAUGGUUUCUGGAGCUUCUUUGAUUCUUUGUACUUCAGAGGCCAGGUGGAUCAGGGGAUCAUUCCAGGAACGCAGAACUCCCAGUAUUAAAUUCAGUAGGUCUUCAUGCUGCACACACAUAGUAAGGAAAGGUGGUUAAAAGAAGAAAGCUAAAUUCUGGCAAAAUUAGAAGGCAUUUAGAGCAGUGUCCUCAGACAUUUUGAUUUAGGAAUUUAUUCCAGCACCUAUCACUGAAUGUGCCCUAUAGCCCUGUCUUAGAUACCUCUGUGCAAUUGCAUUUUUGAAGUUUUCAUUGGUGUCAUCAUGUUCUACAAUGUUUGCAUGAGCCAUAUUGCAGUGAAAAAUAUAAUUGAACACUCUCAGCAUUAAAGACUAGCAAGCAUAACUGUGUCUCAUCUCUGUGAAAGCAAACCCAGAACUCCUUAUCCGAUUUUCAAUGAAUGUUUUAAAAUCCACUGAUUAUUUUUAUUAUUUUUUUUUUUAAUUUAGUACUGACUGGAAGGUGCACAUUAUGGUAAACCACCAAAUAGCUUUUAUUGCCUCUACAUAAUUCUUCUGUCCUCCCCUUUGAACAAUAGUGCUUCCAGCAGUAGCUUUCUGGUUUUAAAAAUUAUCCUUUCUUGUGGGCAAUAGGAAUUCAUCAAGCCUAUGGUUGAGUUUGUGGCAGUAUUAAAACCAUUUCUUCUUUGCUAGAUGGACAGCCCAGGGCCGUGAAUUCUAUUGCUCCCACUAGAAUUUCUAAAUGACACAUUGAGAAGCUGGUGAUACUGUGGGAUUGUGAAGAUAACAUUACCACCAUAAAACUGGUAGAAAUUUCACUGUGGAACAGCCCCAUUUAUACAGCUCUGCUUAUUUUUUUCUCCAGAGAAUUUUCAAAUCGUAUCUGUGAGCACAGACUGAAUGAGACAUCUUCACUGAAGUUUAUAAUUAUUAUAAAUGAUGUAUGUAUGUAGUGCGCUUCUAUUUACAGAUAUUUUGCAGAUUUUCACAGUAGGGUCUUUGUAUUUCGAUAAUGAUGUGACCAGUUUUGCCUACUGGUAACAGGAAGAAUAUUCAAUGUUUUUUUGGUAAUGCCAGUGUUUUGAGUUACAGGAAAACUAUUUACCUCUGUCUACAUACAGCAAUGUGUUUUAUGUUUGCAAAUACAUUAAUUGUUUAUAAGAUGUUUUAAGAUAAUGUUUGAAGGUUGUAUUGUUCUCAGUACUGCACAAACAUGGUAACUGGCAUUGCUCCAUGAGGUAGUAUUUUAAUUGAAAUUAAGAUGCAGGGAUUAAACGUACCAUACAGGAAAAGGAAGGGAUGAUGAAAGUGACUGGUACUUAUGUAUGCUGUAUGGUUUUUAACUUAGUAUCAGCAAAUGUUAAAUUAACUUUGGCUUUUUGGUGUUUUCCUCUUCCUGGCUUUUUUAUUCUGAUUGAGUUGAUCUCCCUCUCACUCUGAAACCCUCUGUAACCCUCCUUCCCUGCCUUCCCCUGCUCCAUCUUACACUGAAUUACACUGGAAGUGGGACUUACAUGAAUCUGCUGAGCCUGCUCCUUAUCUUCAGGAGUGGUUAAAGACGCAGUGUGGCAGCUGUUGACAGCUUUUGCAAUGAAACCCCGGCCCUGGGCGUAGCGUUCAUCCUGCAGAUCAGGACAGGUGUUACUGAGACAGAAGGAAAAGACUACUUACAAAUUCAUUGAACAUUUCCGAAGAGAGGAAGUGAAUGUAGUGUGAAAGUUUAACUGCUCGGUCAAAAAGCUCCUCAAGGGAGAGCUGGCAAUUGACAGAUCCAUUGGGGCAGAUUGGCAAAGAGGUCACUCCUUCCUUUGUCAGAAGCAUGUGGGACACCAGAAGGGCUGCCAGCAACAAACCUGUUCAAGUUUAAAACACGGUGAAAUGGGCUCACAUUGACUUGCAGGCACAUUUAGAAGCAGCUGUGAGAGCCAGAUGCUGGGUGAUUUGGGGUGUGCUGUCACACGGCUCAGAGUAACCCCUGUGCUGGCUGCUGAACAACAGUGGAGGACGGAUACACUGUAAUUCUAUAAUUCUUUUAUCCUUUCUCCCCUCUGUCAUCCUCAUGGUAUAGCAGAGCCAGUUACAGAGUUUGAGGAGACAAGGUAACCUGUGCUGUGGUGUAUUCUUACUACGUGCCUGGCUUUAUAACAGAAUGAUAAACAGGAGGAAAAAAAACAAAUCAAAAUUCUUAGUGCAAAUAUAGAUACAUAAUUAUAUUUACACAGACAUAUAAGUGUGGAAAAUAGAUUGGGUUUUUUUUCUUUCUUUUUUUUUUUUUUCCCUCCUCCUCCCAGAGGUCCUUUUCUUCCUUGCAAACAUUUGGAGUUAAAAUUAAUUUUUGUGGGAGGGUGGUUAGGUCACUCUUAAGGCUGUGAUUGUCCUGGGAGUUCCUUCAAAAGAUUUCCACCAGCUGUGCUUCUUUGCUCUUUAGAGUUUAACCCUAAAUUUUCUACUUCUAAGAAAUCAGUAAUAGUUUUUUCUUUUCUCCUGAGCUUUUGAAACUGAUAUAGAGGACUUCUCAUUAUCUAAGCAAAAAACCUCAUCUGUUUAAAACUUUUCAUGUUAACUUAGCAGAGUUUUUUAUUCAGUGAAAUAUAAUAUACAGAGAAAAACAAUGGCAAAUAAUUAAAAGAAAAUAUUUGGUAAAUGAAUGUUCUGAGACUUUUACUUCUGGAAAUUGACCUGUUACCUAUAAUGGUUCACUAGAAAUAUUUAAAAUGCUCAAUUAAAGUGUUCAUCGUAUAUCAGCAAAACUAUCCCUAAGGAUUCUCAUGAUAAGUUUCUUUAUAGCUCUACACUCAAAAACGUGGAUUUACACAAUAUUGAUGUAAGAUUUCCUCCUCCCCCAUGAGCAAGGUACAUGUUGGACACUGCAGUUAGGAAAGUACUCUAAGGAAUAACUCUAUGAAAAUCUGAGACUUGUUGGCUUGGAAAGUUGAUGGAUGUUUUGAAAACAUUCAUUUCAAAAUUACCACAUCACCUCUAGACUUGUGGGUAAUGAUGUCUGGUCAUAGCCUUCUGAGUGGUACAGCAAACCAGUCCAGAUCCAAACUUUCACAUGCAGGUGUGAUAUCCCUCAAACCAAUUUUUUGUGACACCACCCAAUGCAAAGGUACACUUAGAUGAUAAAAGGCAUCAAGCUCCUUUCUUCUGGUUUUGUCCUUUCUGGAAAAUUACAUGGCUGGAUUUCAGAUGCCUCCUAAUUCAAUUGAAAUAGAAAAAAGUAGAAAAAUUGUCAGCAGGUGAAUGUUAAAGUUCUUACCUUUCAGUGAAGCCCCCUUGGUGCUCAUGGUUCGGAUUCUGGAUGAUGACUUUCUUUACCAGAAAGAAAUCUCAAUUCUUGCUGCUAUUCUCUGCACAUACUGCUCUUAUAUACACCAUGCAGGGUCCAUUUUGCAUACAUUCAGCAGGUUGUGGAGUUUGCUUCCAUAAUUACAAACAUCAAAUUGCCUUUCUUCCACAUUCAUAUUCAGUAUUUUUUGGUUCUUUUUGUUAUUUUUUUUUUUAAUUUUAGCUGUUAGGGGGAAUUUCAUUAAUAAGUUGAGCUGUGGGAUCCCAAGUAUGAGUGAACAAAAAGAGUGCCAAUAUUUUGCCCUGAAUGAGGUGAAAAUGCCGUUGAUCCUGGAAAUCUCCAGUUCUGUGACAGAUUUUCUCAAUGUUUCUAGCCUGCUGUUCCCGCUCCCCAUGAUAGUCUUCUCAUCCGUCCUUGGUGCUUCAGCCAUCUAAGCUUGCUUACAUUAAAAUUCUGGCCAUUUGUGAGAGGCAAACAGUAGUUUGCAGUACCCCCAUUGAGAGGAAUAUCAUAAAUUGAACAGAAAUUUAUCCGGAGUAAAGAGAACUGAGGCUUAUGGAAGGACAGGUCACUAUCUGUAGGAUUAUAGAUAUGACAUUCGUGGUCACUUAAAAAAUAUAUUACACAACACAAAGCUUAGUAUAACUGAUCCUCUGUCUGAGAGAUGUUCAGAAAAAUAGGCUGAGUUUUUAUAUUUAAAAAAAGGGGAAAAUUUAGAAGAAUUGAAGAGGUAGAAGUUAUAUCUGCUUAAUCUGAAAUGUCUCAUGAAUAGGUUAGUAUUAUUUAAAAAAACAAACCCAGCCUCUACAAAAUUAUUUUCUACACUCAAGAACCUGCGUAAAAGAUGGGCAUUUCCACUACAUGCAAAACACAUGCUGUCGUCAGCAGUGAGGUUUGUUCUCGGUUCUGAUGCAUCUGUGGUAAGCUGCAAACCAGCCUAAGCAGGUUGGCCCUGUUUUCUUCUCGUGUGAGGCUCAUCUGCAUGAAUAUGUUAGCAAAUAUAUAACCUUUCAUCUGUUUCUCAGGUGCAUUUACCCAUGGAGAAACUUUCCAAAUUAGGUGGUCAUGAUGAAUAAGGCAUACAGUGUUAAUGAAUUUUCUUGCCUUUAGACAACUUGUUCCAUACCUGUGGAAUGGAACAUGCAACCCAGAAUCCCUCAGUAUCUCAGGAUUCUUGAAGUAAUGGUGAACAAGGGAGAGGAAUGGCUAAGCAUUUAGGAAAGGCAUUCCUUGGGAGACAAGAUACUUCAGCAAUAAACCAGAACCAGUAACAGGUGGUCUACCUUUGCUAAGUUCUAGGAUUUUUGCUAGAACAGUUUUUUCUUCUUAGAGUCUGCACCUUUACUGGAAAUGGAGGUUCUGCUGAGUAAAUGAAGCAGUUGCUGUCUGCAGCAGGAAAAGUGGCAAUUUGAUGAAGGCAGUAAUAUUAGAAUGGGGCCACAGAAAGACUCUGGCAUGGAUGGUAGAAAAAACUGCUGCCUUCUAAACCUCAGAUAAUGGCUUAUAAGCUUGAUUUAAUACAGCUUCAUUUGAAAACCUGCCCCAAUAAGAUUACAGGGAGACUGAAAAAUCCUGGUAUCUUACAUUAGAAGUCCUGUGAAUUAGAUGAAUGAACAGUUCUCAAACCACCUGUUGCUCUUUCAUUCACUAGUCUCCUUUUCUUGGCAUUUUGAGGAUUUGGUAAUGGGGCCAAAAUAAGACAGUGAGUUAAUUAAUAUAAGGAGUAGAUAACAAAGGCAACAGGUAAACUCCUUAGUCUGUCUUCUCUAUUUUUGGACAGGGAGCCUUCUUUGAGGCCUGAUGGCAUCAGCUGAAGUCAAUAUCCUCAUAUGACUUAGAUUGAAGGAUAACCUGCCUCUUGCUGUGUAAAUGUAGACAAGCAUCCUAAAUGUAGAUCACAAGAGAGUGGUUUAUUUGAAAUCAUUGCAUGAUGUUUUAUUUAAAAUAGUUUUCCACAAAAUAAGACAAUUUAAUUUUCUCUUGCACCUUUCAUCCUCAAAUACUCUACAAACAUGAAUGGAUUAAAAUUGGCAACAAUCAAGAAUCAUAAACAGGAGAGAAGACACUCUCUAUAAAGUAGAUAAGUAUAAAGGUGAAGUUCUUUUACCAGGUGUGAGAACUGACAUAGAGGUUAAGUUUAUUUGUGUCUGCACAGGAAAUCUUGAGGGAAAAAAUAACAUAAAAUUCCUGAUUCCCAGACCUGCACAUUAAGAGAAGAAAAUUUCUUACUAGUACCAAAGA